CAGUCGCCGCGGGAAUACCAGCAGCCCAAGUGGUGGUCGCGCUUAUUGGGCCUAAAGCGCUCGUAGCCUGGCCGGUAAGUUCCCCGUGAAAUCGGGUCGCCCAACGAUUCGGCUUGCGGGGAAUACUGUCGGUCUUGGGGCCGGGAGACGCCGAGGGUACUCCGGGGGUAGCGGUGAAAUGCUGUAAUCCUCGGGGGACUACCAGUGGCGAAGGCGCUCGGCGAUAACGGGCCUGACGGUGAGGGGCGAAAGCUGGGGGCGCGAACGGGAUUAGAUACCCCUGUAGUCCCUGUCUCUUAUA
rnacentral:rRNA from 1 species